rnacentral:misc_RNA from 1 species
AACCAUAGAAACCUGCGGAGUACCUGCGGAAGGAUCAUUACAGAGUUCGUGCCCUCGCGGGUAGAUCUCCCACCCUUGUGUACUUUCUACAUCUUGUUGCUUUGGCAGGCCGUUGGUUCGCCAACCACCGGCUCGCGGGCUGGUGCGUGCCUGCCAGAGGACCUCUCAAACUCGGUUUGUUAGUGUCGUCUGAGUACCAUAACAAUCGUUAAAACUUUCAACAACGGAUCUCAGAUCGGA